AUGCAUGUUAGCGCUUCUGUACCAUGUAAAGACAUAUUUUGCUAUUUUAAGUUACUAAGCUCUCCUCCAGAAGCUUUUUUGUUUCAUCUUUUACAUUUAGGUAAAUGAUUCUGAUCAAAUUAAUCUUUUGUUUGGUGUGAGGCAAAUUUCAAAGUUCUUGUUUAUCUUUUUUAAAAAUUUUCUAAUCCUUGUUAUUUAUGUUGUUUUUCAUGUGGCUUCUCAAUUGACCCAAGACCUUCCUUUGAAGCCAACCAUUCACCCUUUGGUCUCAGCCAUCUGUAUAGCAGGUCUUUAUACUACUUUCUAAAGAAAUAAAAAGAUCAGCCAUAUCUCAAGGAAGAACCAUGCCACACCUAACUGUUGAGUAAAGUGCCUUACAAAUAUGAAACGGAAACACAACGCGGCUAAUUAUCUCUACAAGGUCACAGAAAGAAAAGUGAUACAGCAAAAUUCUAGUCGGUGCAGUCUGGUUCCAGAGUCUAUAUAUAUAUGACUUCUACAGCUUCCUCCUGUCUUUCUAAGGUAAUACAGAAAUUAUACCAAGAACUGCCUCCCAGAAAAACACCUGAUCCAAGUGUUUUCAGAGAACUCUAUAAAAUCAUUGAGAUCAUCCAUUUCUUUUCCUAUGAUUUUGUGCAAGUCAUUCUUUUGAGUGUCAGUUUCCUACGAUCUAAAGAAGGCCACCAUUUCUUCUGCAAAAGUCACAAAUGUGUGAAGCACAAAAGGGCAACUGACUGCAAAAAUAUUAUUGAAAAAGAAUUGAAGAAACAAAGAGAUUAUGAGAAAAACAUAUUGCCACCCAGAUGAAUGAUGAUAGAUGCCAAAACACUUUUCAAGAGAAGAGGCUAUUUUCCAGACACAAAUGGUAUCCUGUAAACAUAAUCCAAAGAGAGGGAUUGCAAGCCUCCAAUGAACUCCCAUUGCCUGUAGAGUCGGGCUGCCUAUACCGAAGUCCACCUCCCCACAUCCGACAACCCCUGACAACCGCUGUGCCUAAUGACAGGAGGCCUCUGCGGGGCCAGGUUCCAUGCACCUCUGAGGACACUGGCAACUUGACGGCUCCUUGUUGGCUCCCGCAAAUUUCAAGUUCCCUUCUUUGUUCUCAUCAUCCGUAUAAACCCUACCCAUUCUCCAGUUGGCAUCCUGCCAACUUUCAUGAUAUUUUUUUGAAACUACUGCAAUUCACAUUAAUCUGUACUUUCUCUA